AAAAAAAGGAAAAUGAGUCAAAAUCGGAACUCCAAAAGCGAUUCCGACUAUGUAGUUUCUUUUCAAAAUCCCUAAUUUGGAACUAUCGUUCCCAAUAGCUGGAGCGAGAGGAGCAUCUGCAGCUUGCUACAGAAAACCAGGGUACUGACCUCCGAAGGCCAUCUUCCUCCUUCCCUUUCACUUGAGCAUACUCCUCUCUUCAAUAGCUAUCUUCUUCCUUCGUCAGGCAUUUGCGUCGAGGUUGAUAACCGUGGAUGUGGUAUGUUUGUAUGGUUGAAAGAUGAAACACAUAUCA